rnacentral:lncRNA from 1 species
UGUCAAUUAAUUACAAUCUUGUUUGGAUUAAAUAAUUAAUGAAUUCCUCGCCUACAUUCAUAAUGCAUGAGUAGCAUGUUCACGUUUUUAUUUGAAUGAGUAAACAACCAAGGCACAUAACAUCAUUAACAACAUAAAAAUAAUCUAAGCUAAAAGAAUGCAAUCAAUCUAAGAACAAAAAAAUUAAGUCAUUUUAAUUAAAUUAAAAAGCAGAAAAUAUUUAGCAAUCAUGUUCAUCAAUUUAAAACAAAAUAAAAAGUUAAAAAUGGAAAGCAACUAGAAUACAAAUCUGGUGUUUCUCCAUUACUCAGCUUGUGUUCUUUUCCUCCUUCCUUCUACUUUUUUCCUUCAUGCAAUUGCCUUCAAGAUGUUGAAUUUUGCUGCUCAAAGAACUUCUGCAAUGCUUCCCUCAAACUCUUGUGUUACUCUCUCAAAUGGGAAGUUAAAGAAUGAAGAAUGGAUGCUGAAUUUUUCUACUCAAAGAACUUCUGCAAUGCUUCCCUCAAACUCUUGUGUUGCUCUCUCAAAUGGGAAGUGAAAGAAUGAAGAAUGGGAGAAGAGAUGGUGAGUGAGGGAUGAGUGAAAUGACUAAAUAGCUAGCCCAUAUUUAUACUUGUACAGGCUGGCUAUUUUUAGCAAAUGAGAGCCUCAAAUUUCUCUUCAUGGGUGGUCAACCCUUGAUUUAAGGAGAAUGAAUGGAUCGCUUUGAAAUUUGUUGGAAAAAUUGUUUG